CAUCCGGCGUCUGUCUUCUGAUGGAGGGGAGCGGCAGACGGGAGAGUAACACGUGGGAACGUACCCUUUGGUUCGGAACAACCCAGGGAAACUUGGGCUAAUACCGGAUAAGCCCUUACGGGGAAAGAUUUAUCGCCGAAAGAUCGGCCCGCGUCUGAUUAGCUAGUUGGUGAGGUAACGGCUCACCAAGGCGACGAUCAGUAGCUGGUCUGAGAGGAUGAUCAGCCACAUUGGGACUGAGACACGGCCCAAACUCCUACGGGAGGCAGCAGUGGGGAAUAUUGGACAAUGGGCGCAAGCCUGAUCCAGCCAUGCCGCGUGAGUGAUGAAGGCCCUAGGGUUGUAAAGCUCUUUUGUGCGGGAAGAUAAUGACGGUACCGCAAGAAUAAGCCCCGGCUAACUUCGUG
rnacentral:rRNA from 1 species